rnacentral:rRNA from 1 species
AUGUUCGUGCCCGAGUCGUCCAUGAGCGUUGGCCUGGUUGCGGUCGCUCCCCGGGCUGGUUCUUUGCUGGUGACACGUGUUCCCAGCAUUGACUGCGGGGUGGAUGCUCGCCUUAACUCCUCCGCGUCGGUGAGGCACUCCAGCUCACAUCCUGAUGCGCCUUCAAGGCCGGCGUUGGGCGCGGGGCGCAAGGCGGACAAGACCGGCGCCUGGCAGCUCGUCAAAUCGUGGCGAGGCUCGCGCCGUCCGGCUUUGGAUGCCCACGAAUUCACGCCGCCCCCUCUCCCGCUGUGGCUUAAAGGCUGGUGCUGCCGCUGCCUUGCUCCUGGACAUAGAGCUUCGGUGUGCGGCGACCCAAUCCGCUGCUCCCGCUGCCUCCGGAACGGCCAUCGCGCCCGUGGAUGCAAGAAUAAGUGGCACCCUCUGAGCUCGCUGCCGUGCCUCGCUUUCAUCCCGCCACCGCCGCUGCCUCGCCCUGCCCCAGCUGCGUCUCAAGCCCCGGCGCCUAAGUUCGGCCCUGGUCGGGGUUGGCCUCUCCCCCAACCUUCGACGCCGCCGCUGCUGCUCGACACCACCAUGCUGCUGCGUCUGGGAGAUGUGGCCCUCAGGCCGGACGAAGACUUCGUGGCCGUCCCCGCCACGCUGGAGAUGCAGGCGGAAUCAGCUCUGCUCACCUCCAACGCCGCAGUCGCCUGGUUCGAGGGUGCUCAUGAAGAUGUUCCCUGCCGCACCGCCGCCGCCGCGUUUGCCUCCACCUUUGGGCUGCGGCAGGAGGACGUGAGCGUCGUCCGACACUACCCUGAGCAAUACCUGGUGAAGUUCAUGUACCAGCACAACUGUGUCGACGCUGUCGACCGCGGCGACUUCCUCGUCGGCAACUCCAGGCUCUUCGUCCGCGGGUGGCGGCUCGAGGCUCACGCUGACAACGAAGACAUGAUGUACCAUGUACGCCUCUGCAUCGAAGGGAUCCCGGUGCAUGGGUGGAACAACUACAUCGCCUCGUUUGUCAUCGGCCGUGGUUGCUCUCUCGACUACAUCGAGCAGUGGUCCGUGCGCAGGGAUGACACGCGCGACCUCUCUCUCUGGGCGUGGACAUCGAACCCCAACCUCACCCCCAAGGUGAAGUAG